rnacentral:lncRNA from 1 species
AGGAGCCUGUGACUAUGGCCACUCGGUCUUGCAGUGGCAGAGGAGAGGGCGGCGGCGGCUGUGGUGGGUUGGAACCAGUGGUAGCGUUUGUAGUGGCCAUUUACGUCAACAAUUAUGUACAAGGUAGGACCCUUUCUCUUCUCUGCUUAUAAUCGGAGGGGGGAAAAUAUCUUUGAUGGCAUGAUGUAGUGGAUGACGCCAUCAAGAUAUUUUUACACUUUGGAAAAGGGAAGCACAGACGACAGACCAUUUCUAACACAACUGAUUAAUUAAUUUUAUAUAGGAACCCACUCGAGCAAAAUCGAAUCACUGUAGCUUGUCAGGGGCUUUACCCGCAAUCCUGAGUAAUUGGUACAAGGAUUUCCAGCAAAAAGAGGUGCUC